AGAGUUUGAUCCUGGCUCAGAGCGAACGCUGGCGGAAUGCUUAACACAUGCAAGUCGCACGGGGGCUUCGGCUCUAGUGGCGGACGGGUGAGUAACGCGUAGGAACGUGUCUUGGGGUGGGGGAUAACGCUGGGAAACUGGCGCUAAUACCGCAUGUCUGCUGCGGCAGAAAGCCUUCGGGUGCCUUGAGAGCGGCCUGCGUCCGAUUAGCUAGUUGGUGGGGUAAAGGCUUACCAAGGCUUCGAUCGGUAGCUGGUCUGAGAGGACGAUCAGCCACACUGGGACUGAGACACGGCCCAGACUCCUACGGGAGGCAGCAGUGGGGAAUAUUGGACAAUGGGCGCAAGCCUGAUCCAGCAAUUCCGCGUGGGUGAAGAAGGUCUUCGGAUUGUAAAGCCCUUUCGACAGGGACGAUGAUGACGGUACCUGUAGAAGAAGCCCCGGCUAACUUCGUGCCAGCAGCCGCGGUAAUACGAAGGGGGCUAGCGUUGCUCGGAAUUACUGGGCGUAAAGGGCGCGUAGGCGGCGCUGUUAGUCAGGCGUGAAAUUCCUGGGCUCAACCUGGGGACUGCGCUUGAUACGGCAGUGCUUGAGGAUGGAAGAGGCUCGCGGAAUUCCCAGUGUAGAGGUGAAAUUCGUAGAUAUUGGGAAGAACACCGGUGGCGAAGGCGGCGAGCUGGUCCAUUACUGACGCUGAGGCGCGACAGCGUGGGGAGCAAACAGGAUUAGAUACCCUAGUAGUCC
rnacentral:rRNA from 1 species